rnacentral:rRNA from 1 species
AUGAAUUUGAAUUGGAUCCCUGAACAGGAGGAACCUCGAGUGGCAGAGAAAGGAACUAUGGAUUUGAACUUGAUGCCUCAAGAGGAAGACGAUGAAGCUAUGAAUUGGAUGCCUCCAGAAGAUGAAGGGAAAGAGGACGAAGCUCAAGAGGAAGAGGAUGAAGUUAUGAAUUUGAUACUUCAAGAGAAGAGAAGAGAAUUGUCAGAUAAGGAGAGGCAUGGUGUUUACUUCGCUUUGCUGGUAAUCGAGCUCAGAGAUGGGUCUGUUCAACCAGACGACAAUCUGCUAGUCUCAAACCUGUUGGACAUAAGUGUACGAUCUGUUGAAAGAGUCUGGGAAGAAGCCAAAAAGCAAAUUGCCGAUGGCAAAGAAGUAGAUGUCUCAAGCAAGAAGCCAGGAAGAUCUGGCCGAAAGAGAAAGGAGCUGGAUCUAGAGAGGACCUCAACAAUCCCAUUAAAUAAAAGAAGGACAAUUCGAUUUCUGGCACGGUCUCUAGGUGUGGCCCGAUCGACCCUACAUAAGAGGUUCCAGUUGAAUGAGCUCAACCGCAUCACAAGCACCGUGAAACCUCACCUCAAGCUAGAGAACAAGCUUGCGAGAUUGAAAUUUUGUAUGCCCAUGGUCGAUGACAAUUCAAUCUCAACUUCUCGGGCUAUGUUUAAACCAAUGACGAAUAUGGUUCACAUCGAUGAGAAGUGGUUUGACAUGACAAGAGUGAAGAAUAGUUACUAUGUACUUCCAGGAGAACCUGAGCCAAAGCGCACCGUGUCAAACACUCACAGCAUUGGGAAGGUGAUGUUCCUAACAGCUGUUGCCAGGCCUCGAUAUAACAAUGAGGGGGAGCUAACAUUUGACGGGAAGAUUGGCAUUUGGGCAUUUGUUGAAGAGACUGAGGCGAAGCGGACAAGUCAUAAUAGAACAAAGGGAACAAAAGUGUUGACAUCAGUGAAAGUAACAAGGCCUGUGUGCAGAGAUUAUCUAAUCAAUAAGGUUAUCCCGGCAAUUCCGGAUAAGUGGCCUGACGAUGACGAGGGAGCAACAAUAUUCAUCCAACAGGAUAAUGCAAAGCCCCAUGUCCUUCCCAAUGAUGUAGCUUUUCGAGAAGCUGUGGAACAAACUGAUCUUGACAUCCGAUUGCUACAACAGCCCCCAAAUAGCCCUGAGUUAAAUUGUUUGGACCUCUGCUUCCAUACCUCUCUCUAG